ensembl:lncRNA
CAUGGCUCUGUCCCCUGUGGGUGACUGUCUCCCUCAAGUCAUAGGCAGUGCCUGCCAGUCCUUGACCUGACUCAUACCAUUGGGGCUUAGAUACUCUUGUGUUUGAUCACUCUGAUAUGGUUUGGUUUUUCUUUUCUUAUCUUCAAUAUUAAGGUUAAUAUAAGACCGAUAAAAAAUUCAAAGAUUUUGGCGUAUAAUUUUCUUUUAUGUAGUAUCUUUGUCUAGUUUUGGUAUCAGCAAUGAGAUCCUCUUAUAUAGCACAGGGAACUAUAUCUGGUCCCUUGUGAUGGAAUAUGAUUAAAGAUAAUGUGAGUCAUUUUGCUGUACAGUAGAAAUUGACAGAACACUGUAAAUCAGCUAUAAUGGAAAAAAUCAUAGAAGAAAAUUCAAAGAGCAUGGAAGUGUAUAAAAGCAAACACUCAGAAUUUUCUAUUUUACCCUGUUCCCCAUCCUCUAAUCCCAUGUCCCAGAAGUAAACCUGAUAAUGCUAGACAUAUUAUUCUGAUGUUUAUCCUGAUACCUCUGCAAACCUAAGACAACAGCUGAUGCAGUAACAAAGUCCUCAGGAGAUGCCCAAGCCUGACGUUCCCCAUGCCCAGCUGCACCAGGUGGGACUCACUUCCUCGUUCUCAUGGUUUUUGGGUUCUGUGCAGGUUGCCCAGGAGCCGGUUUGGCAGAUCUGCCCUUGCCAGUGAUUUGGAAGCACUUCAAGCAACAGACUCUUUUCUAGAGGAGACUAGAAAAGCCACAAAGACAUCUAUCACUCAGCACUCGAAAGGGGCACUCGAAAAUGAUGAAAAGAGUGGCUACAAUGCUGAAGAAAAUGAUCAGGAAAAGCCUGCACAACCAAAAGAAACUGGAAAAGAAAGAAAUUCAGGCACUGCCUAUGAUCCUUGUUCCCUAGAUCCAGUGGAAGGUGAGUGCCAGAAUUACGUCCUAAAAUGGUCCUAUAACAAGGAGGAGCAGGCUUGCCGACAGUUCUGGUAUGGCGGCUGUGGGGGCAAUGCCAACCGAUUCGAGACCAAGGAAGAAUGUGAAACCUGGUGUGUCUCAUCUCCCCAGAGAGGCAGGCAGAGCCACAGAACUGCCGCCUCUGUCUUAAUAACUGAUGAAACUGAGAUGCCCUUGCCCGAGACCAUGCCCCACGGCUCAUAAGUGAUGAAGCCCAGGCUACAACCUCAGAGGUCAAACUCCUUACCCUGUGAAGUUUUUCCUUUCAGUGAGGGCUUGGGCCAGAUGACUGCAUUCUAGUCAUUUCAGAAAAGAACUGAAACCUUCCUGAAAGUUUUUCAAUGAUUUCAAACUGAAUGUAAAAGAAACUUCACCUUACCCAAAAAUUUUCUUGGCAUUGUAGCAAAAAGAAAAUGUUCUUGGCUUUGUGAGUAAAACCUAAUUUGGAAAUGAGUUUUAACUUAACUUCCUUUUUUUAUAGUUAAGAGAACAUGGAAGCAUAAGUCAAAGUGGGGGUCUGGAAAAGGGCAAAUUUCAUCCUUACUAAUAAAGGCAUUCUUGCUGUGAUGUGAGAUAUCCUCAUUGUGAUCUUAUACUUCGUGAUGUAGCAAUUGAUAGAGAGGAAAAAGCAGUGAGUUUGACAUAAACUGCAGUGACUCCUGUCCUUCAAAACUUGGUGACUCAAAAAUGCAGGCUGACCUUGUCAGUGCAUAUAUGAAACGAAAGGUCUAGAUUCACUGAGGAUGAAAAAUGUUGCCAUGUGGAUAAGUGAGGAUGACUACAGUUUUGCAAGCUCUUCCGCUUGCUCACAGCUUAGUUGCCCAUCUUGAGGACAGGACUAGAGCUGUCCUCAAUUGCACAGAAUUCUAGAGCUACACAGUAUUAAGGGUUCCUGGUGUGGGGCCUCUGGAGCACCAUGUAUUAGUUGGCUCAAGCUGCCAUAACAAAAUAGCACAGAGUGAGUGGCUUAAACAACAGAAAUUUAUUUCUCACAAUUUUGGAGGUUGUAAGUUCGAGAUCAGGGUGUUGGCCAUUUGGUUCCUGGUGAGAGCUCUCUUCCUGGCCUAUACGACAACUGCCUUCUCUGCUUCUCAGAGCCUUUCCUCUGAGACAGAGACAGAGAUUGUUUUCUGGUGCCUCUUCUUAUAAAGACACUAAUGCUGUAGGAUCAGGGCCCCACCCUUAUGGCCUCAUUUAACCUUAAUUACCUCCUAAAGGCCGUGUCUCCAAGUACAAAUACAGUCACAAUGGAGGAUAGGGCUUCAAUAUAUGAAUUUGUGGGGGACACAAAUAUCCAGUCCAUAACAGGUCACCAGCAGCUGGUGGUUGCCCUCAGAGACCCAGAGUGAGCUUGCUUUUUGACAAGUUCUUGGUUCAGUAAUGGAAUCUGUGACUUCUAGAAUCUCUUUUUUCCUCUUCGUAGCCCACUGCAGAUGGAGAGGGAACAAGCCUGCUCCUAGAAACAUUAAAAUUUUACUAUAUUGUUACAAGAAUUAUUUUUAUCUGGUCACAAAAUGAUAACUGUCUUUAUGGUAACAAAAUAAAAAAACACUGAAAUGCACAUGGAAGAAAUAAUGAUCAACUGUGAUCUUUUCUCCCAAAAGUAAUCAUUUUGGUGUAACCAUUUUGGUAUUACCCUCUUUUUUUUUUUUCCUAAUACCUUGAAUACUAUCUUUUUUGUGUGUGUCUGCCUUAACAUACUACAUCAUAACCAAUUUUGGCUAAAGCAUGAUGGGAAAGAAACAGUAGGUGUUCCCUCUUUUGAGGUAGAGCUGCUCAUCUGCCUGGUUGGGUAAGCAUUUCUAUUUUAGAUAUGACCUUGGCUGCCUGGGCAUAAAGGGGUCAAGCUUACCCAUCCUAAGGAUGGCCUAUGAUUUGAGCUGAGAUCUAUUUUCUAUUUCUCGUUCCUACUCUGCCCUUCCCGUGUCCCGGAGUUGGGAAUGCAUAGGCAGAGAUCCAGUAACAACAGGACAUGUUCAAGGGUGUUGAUAUUUCCCAUCCUUGGAGCACUUAAGAGGCCCACCUGCAGAUCUCCCAGCAUUUAAAGUAGUAUAACCCUUUCUUGGAGCUCCUCUGACCCCCACAGAAAGUUUGCCUGGAAAACCCUGAGGCAUAGACACAGUCUGAACAAGGGGUAGAAACGAUGAUCUGUUGUUUUAGACAGUUUUCAUGGAAAGGACGGAUACGCAGUUUAUGAGGCAUUUUCCCACAUUAUCUCAUAUAUUUGCUCAUUGCCACUUUGAAAUCUCAGAUGUUAGCCUUAUCCAUCCCAAUUUUUCCUCUUACUCUCCUCAUUCUCCAAGAAGUGAAAUGGCUUGUCCGAGACACAACAGAAACUGGCCUUGAACUCCUUUUGAUCCCCAAACUAGGCUUCCUUUUGCUUGACUCCACUUAUUCCAAAACAUGAGCUGCCACCAGAUGAUCUUGAAGGUUAGAGCCGCAGGGGAAGGAAGAGGGGCUGAGACAGAAAGGUGGAAUUUCCUGCCUGACAUAAAGGAAUUCUACCUUGCUCUCUGCCUCAGGUGCUUCUGGUGAUUCUGGUAUGGCCCUAAGGCCGGGAGGGAAAAAGAGAAGUUGGAUUGUGAUCAGCUCUGGAGCUCAAAGGGCUGUCAGAGUUGUCCCAGGGGGUGUCAAAUAUUUGGACCUGUAUCCCCUGCCCCCAUGGCCAUUGGAUGGGGGCUGCCCCCAAAAGGGGAUGAGCAUGGGUCAGGCAACUCUGCAGGGAUGGCAAACCCUGCAGUUCCUUCACUGAAGGGGGAUCUGAUGGUUCAUCCCUGGCCCAUCACUGUGCCUCUACCUGCAAUGUGCUUUGCAUCCAAAUUUCCGUAAGUGACCAAAUCCAAUAAGAAAGAUUCAUAAACAUAAGUGUGGUAUGCAAGCCCCCAGAGACCUGGUCUUGGUAUCCGUCUGCAGUCUCCCAAAGAUGGAAGAGGUCCUUUCCCUCUAGAUUUUCACUUGGACAAUGAUACUAAAUAAGUUACCGUCAUUUCCUACAAUGGAAAUACGGAAAUUCCAUAUUCCCACCAGCCAUGCUCUGGCUCUUGCUGGUACUUCUAUGGCUUUAAUUCACUUAUUUGAAAACUAUUUAACAGGCAUCUACUAUGUAUUAGGUCUGUUAUCUUGUUAAAUCCAACUCAGCAUUCACUGCCUCUGUGAAAAUAUCCCUGAUUAUCCCUUUUCAAGAAAGAAUUCGUCAUUAUAUCAUAGGUUUCCUGUAUGUACUUUUUUGGGGUCUCUUUUGCAUCGUAUUUAUACCAUUUGCCCAUUUGUCUCCUAAGACCGUGAGCCUUUUUACCUUGAAAUUGUCUAUCAUGUACAGGGCUGACACAUUUCCUCGUGGUUCUUGUGUGGUCAGGCCACCCAAGAGGGCUCUUCUCUUGUUCUCUGUACACCUGCUUGAUCAGUGCCUGCAUCACCUCUCCCACUCACACGACUGACCUUCCUACAUACUUACCCCAGGCCUAGCCAGUGAUGUUUCUAAUCUUUAGAUCAGACUCUCCACCAUGAUAAGUGAGGGGUGUGCCCUUCUGCUGAUUUCCUUGGUAACCUGUGAGCCAAUUGGAUGUCAAUUCCCUCUGUAACUGGCAACCUUCCCCUUCCCUAGGGAGCAAAGACUGCUGCCUCCUCCUGCCCUCCCUUGUCCCCUUACCCUCUGCUGCACAAGGUGGGGUGUUGCUCUAGCACCUUGCAUCAGACAUAGAUGUUCUCCUAUCCAUUAAACCACUGAUGUCUCUGUUGCCGACUCCAGGCUCUUUGGCCUUGAGGCUGGGCAAGUUCAGGGCUUUCAGGCCUGCAAAGUGCAGCUCAACGCUUCUGAUUUUUAAACUCUCUGCCUGUCCUCAAAUAGUGUUAGAAAUACUCCCCCAACAAUACUUGGCUCUUUCUUUCCUUCCCUGCCUCUUGCUCUAGAAAAACUUUGUGUUGUAGAUGUUCUGCCUUUGUUUCAAACACCAGGGCAUCAUUGCCCCAUCAGCCAAGUGGAAAAAGGCUUAUGUGCUUUAAAUUUCUCCUUUGGAUCUGUUAGUUCAUUAACUAUCACCAUGCACUGCUUUGGGGUUAGGCAUUUUUCUGAAGAAGAUAUUAAGACACAGAAAGUUCAAAUGAUGUUGAAUUUCAUGCAGUGAAUCAGUUGGUGGCCAAAAGUUAGAAUUAAAGAGUGUUUGGGACUGAUUUAUCAUCUGCUCUGCAAAGUUCAGGGUUUUAAUCAUUGUGUGAAUUGACUUUCUACUUUUAAUCAUAUAAAGGAUUUUGUUGAAUCUAGAAAAUUGGAGGAUUUUAGGAUAGUAGGCUCCAAACCUGGUUCCUAGCCAUCUAUUAAAGUGUAUAAAUGAGUCCAAGCCUUUUUCCUGAGUGCUCCAGAUUGGAUGUCUUGCUGACCGAGUACUUUCCCAGCGUUUCUCCUUUUAUUUUGCCAUCUUGUGAUCCCUUCCUUUAAUUUUUGAAUAAUCCCAAAGGUAUGUAUAUAUGUGUCUGUG